UUCAGAGUCUGGUGGAUUUGGAUUUGAACCUCAAGAAGCUUGGGUCCAGAUUGUUGGUGCUUAAAAGGCGACCCCAGCGAGGUCAUCGUUCGUUGCCUAAAGAAGUGGGAUGUGAAAAAGCUUUGCUUUGAGUAUGACAUUGAACCAUAUUACCAAGCUCUAGAUGUUAAAGUCAGGGAUUUUACAUUCGCGGCUGGGAUUGAGGUUUUCAGUCCUGUAAGUCAUACGCUGUUCAAUCCAGGGGAGAUUAUACAGAAUGUGAGGUUUUUGAACUAAUUUGUUAAGUGAUUUUAUGAUGGAGGGUUUUGUUAUAUGUGGGUUUGAUUGAUGGAUAAUUUAGUUGAUGGCAUAAAAGAAUGGGGGAAGGCCACCUUUGAGUUAUCAAUCAUUUGUAACUCUAAAGAGUGGGGAAAGCUCUGCAGUGCCUCGAACAAGACAUAGUCGAGGUCCCAAAGGAUCGUCAGAGAGAAAAAGGAUCCUCUAAUGGUAUUGACAGUGAAAUGGGCUUUCAAGCUUGCUUAUGGAAAACUGCCUGGAGAGAUUCGGUUGGUCAGUUUAUAGAAGCUAGCAUUGCCACUCAAUAUAAGAAACCCAUAACCC